rnacentral:lncRNA from 1 species
UAGUUAGAUAUAAUUAUAAAUAUAGUAUAAUUUAAGGAGUUGAGCUGGAAUGCUAUUAGUAGCAAACGAGCUCUAUCGUUACCUAUUUAUUUUCGAUGAUGGAGUUUCCAAAUCGAUAAUCGACACCGCUGAGUAUAAUUUAUACCACUUGAAACAUCUAGAAAUCAUAUUUUAUACUUUUCGAUAUUGUUCUCUUGUCCAUCAAGUAAAUAAAAAAGUGAACGGCCAAAAAUGAAUAUCUUUUAAAAAGUAAUGAUAGGAGUUGUGUAACCAAGAUCAAGAGUACAGAUUUUAUUUUAAAAUAGUUUAAAAUUUUUUCUAAUCAAAAUUCAAUUCAUUUAAAUAUCUUUACGUCGUUAAAUGAGAAAACGUCUCAUAUUGUCCAUUAAAAUUACAGAUUUUGAAACCAUUUGAUCAUUAGGACAACAAUGUCGAAAAGAUUUGAAUUUUCGUUUGUAAAUAAUUCAAGUAGUAUAGAUCAUGUUCAACAGUGCCGAUCAUCGAUCUGGAGGCUCCAUUAUUGAAAACAAAUUGGUGGUAAUGUAGUCCGUUUGCUCUGGAUAGUAUUGCAGCUUAACUCUAAUUUAAGGGUGUAUUUGGUUUGGAUUAUUCUGAUAGGAUUAUUAGUGAUCUUGUUAGGAUUACUGCAUUUGGUUCAUCUGGUAUGUAAUCUGUUCAGUAUUAUAGCAUUACAGAAUGUGUAAGAUUACACCAAAAAUAUUACCAAGAGGAGUAGUGUGCAUCUUAGAUUAUUGAAAGUGGCUAAUAUUGCACGUUAUACAAAACUACAAGUUGACCCCUCCAACUCCCAAAACACUUUCAAUGCAUCAUUUUUAAAAUUUUAAUUUAAAAUUUUGAAUUGUCAACUUUUAAAUUUUAAAUUUAAAAUUUUUAAACUUUAAAUUUCAAUUUUCAAAUUUUAAAUUUUAAAUUUUAAAUUUAACUUAAAAUUUUAAAUUUUAAAUUUUAAAUUAUAAAUUUAACUUAAAAUUUUAAAUUUCAAAUUUUAAAUUUAAAUUAAAAUUUUAAAUUUAAAGUUUUUAAACUUUAAAUGUUAAAUUUUAAAAUAUGAAAUUUAUAAAUUUAAAAUCUUAAAUUUUAUAUUUUUGUUUAAAUUUGAAUUUAAAAUUUAAAAAAUUUAAAUUAUUUAAAAUAAAAUUUAGUAAAAAAAAUAUUAUUUGUAAAGAGUAAAAAAGGUUUGCCAAAUAUAACUAAGAGCAAUUUUGGAAUAGACUAUACUUUAUUGUUAAAAUUACUAAAUUUUAUAGAGUGAACCAAAUAUAGUAAUGAUAUAAACACUGCAAUCCAGUAUUACAUUGCCGUAUUAAACCAAACACGAUAAUGCAGCAUCAGUAAUAAUCUUAUUUAGAAAUCUAAGAUACCUACAUAUAUCGAAAUACUCUGUAACUAAACGCGCCCUAAGAUAUAUAUAAUUAUAAAUAUAGCAGUUAUAAAAACAUAGUAACUAUAAAUCUUUUGUUUACUUAU